rnacentral:lncRNA from 1 species
CAUCUUGGGUUCCUUUGCACGUACAUAGAAUAAAGUGCAGCUAGCAAGGCAGAAGACAGGAAGUUACAGAAGAAAAAGAUUGCUCAGAAAAGCAGAAAGGAUGUAGUACGUUAAGCUGGAGGUUUUUAAGAGACUGUAUCCAUCCAGGAUCGAAAGGAAGAUGGGAAUGUAAUUCAGCAGUUAUAUUUGGAGCAGCUGUUGUUCAGCUGUUGGACAGAGGCACUGGAAAAAAGGUAAGAAAAAAUUGCUCUUUUCAUGGGAAAGCAUGUUUUCAAUUAGAUGUUUUUUUCUUUCUCUAGCUUGAUGAAGCAAAGAUUCGCAUCGAUUUUACAUUGUUAACAGUUGGACAGAUAAAAC